GACGAACGCUGGCGGCGCGCCUAACACAUGCAAGUCGAGCGAGAACCGGAGCUUCGGCUCCGGGGACAGCGGCGAACGGGUGAGUAACACGUGGAUAACCUGCCCUCGGCACCGGAAUAGCCCGGGGAAACCCGGAUUAAUGCCGGAUAGCCCCACAUCCCUGCGGGGAACGUGGGAAAAGGUAGCUUCGGCCUCUGGCCGAGGAUGGGUCCGCGGUGGAUUAGCUUGUUGGUGCGGGUAAUGGCCCACCAAGGCGACGAUCCAUAGCUGGUCUGAGAGGACGAUCAGCCACACUGGGACUGAGACACGGCCCAGACUCCUACGGGAGGCAGCAGUGGGGAAUCUUGCGCAAUGGGCGAAAGCCUGAUGCAGCGACGCCGCGUGGGGGAUGAAGGCCUUCGGGUUGUAAACUCCUUUCGCCAUUGACGAAGCCCUUUGGGGUGACGGUAGGUGGAGAAGAAGCACCGGCUAACUACGUGCCAGCAGCCGCCGUAACAC
rnacentral:rRNA from 1 species